rnacentral:rRNA from 1 species
UUAGCUUGCGGGUGCUAUACAUGCAAGUCGAGCGAAUGGAUUAAGAGCUUGCUCUUAUGAAGUUAGCGGCGGACGGGUGAGUAACACGUGGGUAACCUGCCCAUAAGACUGGGAUAACUCCGGGAAACCGGGGCUAAUACCGGAUAACAUUUUGAACCGCAUGGUUCGAAAUUGAAAGGCGGCUUCGGCUGUCACUUAUGGAUGGACCCGCGUCGCAUUAGCUAGUUGGUGAGGUAACGGCUCACCAAGGCAACGAUGCGUAGCCGACCUGAGAGGGUGAUCGGCCACACUGGGACUGAGACACGGCCCAGACUCCUACGGGAGGCAGCAGUAGGGAAUCUUCCGCAAUGGACGAAAGUCUGACGGAGCAACGCCGCGUGAGUGAUGAAGGCUUUCGGGUCGUAAAACUCUGUUGUUAGGGAAGAACAAGUGCUAGUUGAAUAAGCUGGCACCUUGACGGUACCUAACCAGAAAGCCACGGCUAACUACGUGCCAGCAGCCGCGGUAAU